rnacentral:rRNA from 1 species
AGGACGAACGCUGGCGGCGUGCCUAACACAUGCAAGUCGAACGAGGUCCAUCCGGUAGCAAUACCGGUGAAGAUCAAGUGGCGAACGGGUGAGUAGCACGUGAGCAACCUGCCCCGAAGACCGGGACAACACCGGGAAACCGGUGCUAAUACCGGAUGUCCCCACCGAGUCGCAUGGCUUGGUGAGGAAAUGGAUUCCGCUUCGGGAGGGGCUCGCGGCCUAUCAGCUUGUUGGUGAGGUAAUGGCUCACCAAGGCUUCGACGGGUAGCUGGUCUGAGAGGACGAUCAGCCACACUGGGACUGAGACACGGCCCAGACUCCUACGGGAGGCAGCAGUGGGGAAUCUUGCACAAUGGGCGAAAGCCUGAUGCAGCAACGCCGCGUGAGGGACGAAGGCUUUCUGAGUUGUAAACCUCUUUCAGCAGGGACGAUUGUGACGGUACCUGCAGAAGAACGCCCGGCAACUACGCGCCAGCAGCCGCGGUAA